rnacentral:misc_RNA from 1 species
UCUCCGUUGGUGAACCAGCGGAGGGAUCAUUAUAGAGUUUUAUAACUCCCAACCCUUUGUGAACUUACCUUUGUUGCCUCGGCGGGACCUACCCGGUACCUGUCCCUUUUGGGACAGACUACCCUGUAGCCCGCCGGUGGCCCAACUAAACUCUUGUAUUAUUUGUUAUCUGAGAGUUAUUUUUAAAAUAAGUCAAAACUUUCAACAACGGAUCUCUUGGUUCUGGCAUCGAUGAAGAACGCAGC